UACAGAGGGUGCGAGCGUUGUCCGGAAUCACUGGGCGUAAAGGGCGCGUAGGCAGCUUGAUAAGCGUGCGGUGAAAGCCCGGGGCUCAACCCCGGGUCGGCCGUGCGAACUGUCGAGCUGGAGCACUGUAGAGGCAGGUGGAAUUCCGGGUGUAGCGGUGGAAUGCGUAGAGAUCCGGAAGAACACCGGUGGCGAAGGCGGCCUUCUGGACAGUGACUGACGCUGAGACGCGAAAGCGUGGGGAGCAAACAGG
rnacentral:rRNA from 1 species